rfam:TPA: Bos taurus chromosome 29, whole genome shotgun sequence.
UGGCUCAGACGGUAAAGCAUCUGUCUGCAAUGCAGGAGACCCGGGUUCGAUCCCUGG